rnacentral:rRNA from 1 species
UGGACGACUCUCGGCAACGGAUAUCUCGGCUCUCGCAUCGAUGAAGAACGUAGCGAAAUGCGAUACCUGGUGUGAAUUGCAGAAUCCCGUGAACCAUCGAGUCUUUGAACGCAAGUUGCGCCCGAGGCCAUCCGGCUAAGGGCACGCCUGCCUGGGCAUCACGCUUUCGACGCUUCGUCGUUGCACCCUCGGGGGGUGGGGGCGAACGCGGAGGAUGGCCCCCCGUGCCGGAAGGUGCGGUUGGCC